GGGCAUGCUCCUACUAUCAAGGAUUUCCAUGGGGGAAUGUUCUGUGAUGAGCCUGGCUUAGGUAAAACUAUUACUGCUCUUUCUCUCAUUUUGAAGACUCAGGGAACACUGGCAGAGCCACCAGAUGGUGCACUAGUCAUCUGGUGUAUGCAUAAUGCUCAUCGGAGGUGUGGUUAUUAUGAGCUUAGUAGUGAAGAUACAAUCAAUUCUGGUGUUUUAUCAUCUAAUAGAGCUACUGGACACAAUGGCCGAAGAGGACAAUUAUCUUUAGAGAAAUUAACCCCAGAGAAAAGCUUGAACAGCUUCUCCACAUCACUUGGAUCCAUGGUUGUUAAUUCAGCUGAUCAUGUAGCAAUUUCAGAAAUCAGUUCAUCUACAGUCACACAGUCUACUCCAAGAAGGUCUACUGCGAGGUGUACUAGUAGCUAUAGCCAGAUAAAAAGAGAUC
rnacentral:misc_RNA from 1 species